UCCUACGGGAGGCAGCAGUGGGGAAUAUUGGACAAUGGGCGAAAGCCUGAUCCAGCCAUGCCGCGUGUGUGAAGAAGGCCUUUUGGUUGUAAAGCACUUUAAGCGAGGAGGAGGCUACUUGGAUUAAUACUCUAGGAUAGUGGACGUUACUCGCAGAAUAAGCACCGGCUAACUCUGUGCCAGCAGCCGCGGUAAUACAGAGGGUGCGAGCGUUAAUCGGAUUUACUGGGCGUAAAGCGUGCGUAGGCGGCUUUUUAAGUCGGAUGUGAAAUCCCUGAGCUUAACUUAGGAAUUGCAUUCGAUACUGGGAAGCUAGAGUAUGGGAGAGGAUGGUAGAAUUCCAGGUGUAGCGGUGAAAUGCGUAGAGAUCUGGAGGAAUACCGAUGGCGAAGGCAGCCAUCUGGCCUAAUACUGACGCUGAGGUACGAAAGCAUGGGGAGCAAACAGGAUUAGAUACCCUGGUAGUCCAUGCCGUAAACGAUGUCUACUAGCCGUUGGUCUCUUUGAGGGAUUAGUGGCGCAGCUAACGCGAUAGUAGACCGCCUGGGGAGUACGGUCGCAAGACUAAAACUCAAAUGAAUUGACGGA
rnacentral:rRNA from 1 species